CCCUUAGAUGUCCUGGGCCGCACGCGCGUUACACUGAUGCAUUCAACGAGCUUAUAACCUUGGCCGAGAGGCCUGGGCAAUCUUGUUAACGUGCAUCGUGAUAGGGAUAGAUUAUUGAAAUUAUUAAUCUUGAACGAGGAAUUCCUAGUAAACGCAGAUCAUCAAUCUGCAUUGAUUACGUCCCUGCCCUUUGUACACACCGCCCGUCGCACCUACCGAUUGGAUGGUCCGGUGAAGCCUCGGGAUUGUGGUUCUUGCCGCUUUAUUGUGGCGUGACCGCGAGAACUUGUCUAAACCUUAACAUUUAGAGGAAGGAGAAGUCGUAACA
rnacentral:rRNA from 1 species